rnacentral:rRNA from 1 species
UCUCUUUUCUAGUAGUAGUCGUAAGUGGACAGCGGAGAAGAAGAACAACAAAUAAAGCAGAUUAGAGCACAUGUAAAGGUUGGACGGUACUGUCCAAGGCCCCCAUCUCGAGUAGGGAGAGCGACAGGGUAACUGACCUUAAUAACUAUGUGCAUCUUUAGAGAGAGUCGGAAGUUAAGAAAGAAACAAAUAACCUGCCAAAGAACCAUCAACCGCUCAUCACGAGGUCGAGGUAGGUCCCCGGUCCUUGCACCCAGACCUCCUCUAGACUCGAAGGAAGAGGCACUUCUUCCUUUAAACGAGUUCAGGUGGUUUCUAAAGUAGCUGCUAGUGAAGGUGUCUACUCUACUUCCAUACAUAACUGUCGAGCCAGGAAGGUAGGGCUCGCUUCUAGCUAGUUACCGAUGACGAUCAUCAUGCCGGACCCCUAGAGUGGCCGUCGUCAAGAGGCGGGACGAUAGGAGCCGCCAGGACCUUACCCACGACUAGGACGAGUACGACGACCUCCCGGACGACAGGGCGGACCGGUGCCGCAAGCGCGCGGAGACGUUCGAGGGCGGCGGGACGGGCCGCACGCGCGCCGAGCUGCGGCAGGAGCCGCCCCGCGCGGGCCCGAGGAGGAUGGCGCUGGAGGAGACGUCGAGGGUGUCCCGCCUCCGCAGCAGCAGGACCCGCAAGACGGUACUGCCACCGUACCCGUAACCCCUGCAAAACCCUCUAGCCGCGCAGCAACUGCUGCUCUAGCUAGCACAGCCCAUGUCACUCGACUCCCGGAGGCUGAGGCUCAGCCUCGAAUCUUCUUCCAGCGGCCUCCUGCGGCGGCGGUAGGCAUCCGACUUCCUCCUCGAAUGAGACCCGGUCCGCGUCUGUUUCCAACGUCUAUCGGAAGGAGAGUUCUAAGUCUUACCACCGGGCCUAUAAUGUGUGAGACUUCUAAGUUCCCUCGGCCCGUCGUAGCUCCGGCUGUAAGUCAGUUGACUAGAACGGUGUUUACUACUUCUUGGAGUAUGGUUCCAACGUCUACCGAAAGAGGUUAGGCCCAAUUGCGUUCAAGUCUCACCGUCUAAUGUGAGAUUUCUAAGUGUGUUGUAAGUCUGUUCACUAGAAGGUUGUUUUCUACUUCUUGGAGCAUGUCUAUGUGUUCUAGUAUUUGGUCUUCUUCUUCUACUCACCGUGUUGCGACUACUACCGCUCGGUAAACUUUGGUUUCGACGUCGUCUACUCGGCCUCGGACUUAAACGGCUGUCUCGGUGGUGUGCCGUCCUAAGGAACUCUCAGGUGGUCGUGGACUUCGACGACGAGAGCGUCGAGAGGCGAAGAAGCAGAAGAAAGGCCUGCGGGCUGUCGGGCUCGCACGUCCUCGUCGUCGUGCUCGUCCGGCACGACGCGUUGUAGUGGUCCCGCGAGAGGGACGUCGCCUUGAUGAGCCCGCAGAGGCUGCCGUCGCACCAGCUGUGACUUCGACUCCUCACGCCGUGCCAACUACUCGACUCCGCCGCCCACCUCGACCUGGCGUCCAGGUACCGCGAGGACACCUUCCUCGACCUCCUCCUCGCGUCGCGCAGCCGGCACCGCUGGUCGGUCCGGUACCGGUACUAGUGGUCCGACGUCCUCCUCUUCCGCCGCUACGCCUGGCUCCGCCGCGUCAUGGCGUCCCAGUACCUCCUCGUCUCGCGCAUGCUAGCCCUACUUCGACUCGCCGACCGGCCGCAGCACGCCCUCGAGCUCCGGCUCCAGCUCCCUAUGUUCCGGUCCGAGUCCCUGGUGCUCUAGCAGCCGCUCUAGGCGCUGGUAUACGCCGAGGAAGGCACGGUCUGUCUGCCGCUCUGGCCGCCGCAUGGGCAGAGGCCUGGCCGGCCUCUCCUUAAGAGGCCGCUGAGGCUCCUGCUGCUCUUGCGCGCGCGGACCUUCGUCGACUCCCCCGACUGCCUGUCCGAGGUGGCCGAGAGCUUGUUGUCGUCGCCCUAACAGGUUCUUGGCCUCGGGUGCCUGCAGCUUCUUCUUCUUCUUCUGCCGCUGCCGCCGUUCCUCCUCCUGUGCUGCCUUGGAAGCCACCACCCCUCCGCGCACUCCUUGCCGCUGUUGAAGUGCUUUACCGUCGUAGAAGUCAGGUAGCUCUGCUGCUCGUUCCCGAGCUGAGUGCCGGUGCCGGUGGUGCCUGUGCUGCCACCGCCGCUCCCACUGCUGUGCCGUCGUGACCUCCUCCUCUAGCCCCUCGAGUCGGCCGCCGACGUCCGCGACCUUCGCCUGGCCUCGAAGGACCUCGUGUCGCACUUGAGCGACUCCUUGCCCUCCCUGCCGCUCCGGCACUAGGUGCUGUAGCGAGCGUCGGAGUCUCUCGAGGCCUUCUGUGAGCCUCUCCUACGGUAACGAUCGACUUUCGAAGCGACCGGCCCCAACGAGUACUCGUACGUGUAUGUCUCCAACAUUUAUCACUACUCCGACGAGCUAACAUGUUAUUCGUACACACGUAUACCACGACCUACCAAACGUUCACCUGGUCCUAAAAAACGCACCUCACCAACAAGACGUUACGUAACGUCUUAGUCCCACAGUGACUUAAGCGGGGGCAAAGUACAUGUUUUAAAAUAGAACUGCCCAAACUUUAUAAUACUUUAAAACUCUCCUACAUUCACACAAA